CCUACGGGAGGCAGCAGUGAGGAAUAUUGGUCAAUGGACGAGAGUCUGAACCAGCCAAGUAGCGUGAAGGAUGACUGCCCUAUGGGUUGUAAACUUCUUUUAUAAAGGAAUAAAACGAGGCACGUGUGCCUUUUUGCAUGUACUUUAUGAAUAAGGAACGGCUAACUCCGUGCCAGCAGCCGCGGUAAUACGGAGGAUCCGAGCGUUAUCCGGAGUUAUUGGGUUUAAAGGGAGCGUAGAUGGGUUGUUAAGUCAGUUGUGAAAGUUUGCGGCUCAACCGUAAAAUUGCAAUUGAUACUGGCAGUCUUGAGUACCGUUGAGUUCGGCGGAAUUCGUGGUGUAGCUGUUCACUGCUUAGAUCUCACGCAGCACCCCGAUUGCGACGGCAGCUUACUAAACUGUGCCUGACAUUGCUGCUC
rnacentral:rRNA from 1 species